CUUCCUCCGUCCUGAGUUAUCCAGGUACUAGGAGGGGAGCAAGUCAAGCUGGUUUUGGAAGUGUUUUGUUAUAUGCUCUUCAUUUAUGUGAGAGAUUUUUUUCUGUGGAUCUUUUUCUAAGGUCCAGUACAAUUCUACUGUGUCUGAGAACCAAUCUUUAAGGAGAGCUUCACUGGUCUGAAGAAAGACCCAACACCAGGACUUUCAUCUACACCUAGGUUUCUAGAGAACUUGACAUUUUCUAGGAUCAGAUCUGAAGAGAAGCAAGAUAGUUCUACUACCUUUUUUGCAAAAGCAAGCAUCGUUGAAGAAAUUCCAGAAAGACUCAGAAAAGCUAGUGGACCAAAUCAGAAGAUAACCUUUUAUGCAGAGAAAAUACAGCUCUGGAAAAAAACAUAUUGAAAAUAGCUACCAGUAUGAACUAUCAGAGUCAUAUCAGCUAAUGCCUUCUUUUGGAAUCGGUGAGAAUUGCUGCUAGCGGCAGCCAGGCCUUCGGUUCCAAAGUCUGUCUUGAGAGAAGAAACCUGGAUGGAUUAUGACAACUGACUGACUUGCGGCAGGCAGCAUAAAACCAAAAUUCUUCUCCCAUUUGAAAAUAUGGGCGUCUAAGAGCUUCUGAAGAAACAGUAGUCCAUGGAAGGAGGUACCUACAAGCCCCAGAAACCAAUCCGAGGACACAGUUUCCUAAUUCCUGUUCCCAGCUGCAUUCCUUGUGGAUAAAAGGGUAGAGGCCGUGUAGCCAAGAAAAGCACAGGACAGCUGGGGUCUGUUCUGCCAGAGGAUCUAUAUGCGUGAAAAGUCUGAAUAAAACAACCCACUGAGAACGCGUGUGGAACAGAGGGACGAGCGGCGCGGGCUGAGCGAGGCUGAAUGGCCCCUUGUCCCUCUGCACGUACGCAGAAGCGCUCAUGAAAAAGCUUACACUGUAAUUCCUAAAUGUUAUUAAAUCGAAAUGGUUUCACUGGCAGGGCUGAAUGAUUUUUAUACAGGGAUUUUUAAGGAGAUGGACCAUAAAUUUUAGCAAUGCUGGGCAGUAUUUUAUAGCUCUAUAGGCCAGAUGAGGUUUGUGGGUCAUUUUGAAGCCCUUGCUAGCUAAACAAGCAAGCAGCGUGUUUAACUCCAUUGUCAUUAAUGGGAAAGGAACCGUUGAGAUGCUUCUCGUAAAACACUCAGAAAAAUUUGGUGAAGCAUAAUGUUUAGAGCAAAACAAAAACAAUCAAUCAAGGAGAAAGGAUGAAUUAAUCUUAUUGCUGCCAGAUCACAGAGAAGGGACUCAAAAUGUCAGGUAGUUCAGAAGAGCUGUAGUUAAGCAUUUAAACUUUUCCCGGUGUACUUAGACAAGAGCUAGUAUUAUAAGAUGCAUAUUGGGUUUUUACUGAUAAAUUUAAUCUAGUUGUCUGGUGAUCAGAUGCAGUAGAAAUGGAAAUGUAGAAGUAAAAGGAAAGUAGAAAAGAAUUCUGAGACAUUUUGAGCACGUUAACGAAAGAAAAGGUCUUUUCUCAGAUUCAUGGUAUAGAAAAACAGUGUAUUUGUGAAAGAUAAAAUAUAAUAGAUAAUAAUUGCAAAAGAAUUUGCUUGUGUCUGAAUCCUGAAGAAAUUUUCUUCAAGAUUGCGUUUUUAUUACUGUU